UUAUUGCUUUCUGCCACUAGGCUGAGAGUGGACCACAUAUACAGAAAUAGAAAACUAUUAAUAGAAAAAUAUAUUGCAAACAUCUAAUCCUCAAACCCCAUUCAAGUUUUGCCAACUACUCUCCAUCCUAUCAAAUAUUCCUUAUACCAAAAGAUCCGGUUCAAAAAUAAGUGUUGCAUUUAUUUUUUAACCUCUUUUGAUCUGGAAUAGCUCCUCACACCGUCUUUCAUGACUUUAGUGCUUUGGAAGACUACAGUAUUCUUUAUAUCUGAAAAAUAAAGGAAUUUCUACUUUCUGGCUUAAUAUAAUAAGAAGUUUAGGCUCAUCUGAAAUUUCCCUGCCGUCACCUGGGAAUCAACCAUUUCUUCAGGGAGUCCUAGUUUCUUUUAGCGGUCAAGUCUGCAUUCUGGGAUAAAGUGUUGACACAAUCUUGAAUCAGUGCCUAAGGAGUUCACAAGUCCAGAGAGGGGAUAGCGUAUAGAGAAGAUAAAGCAGAUAUCCAUCCAAAGACUUGUAUGUGAAUGUUCAUAGCAACUUUAUUUGUAAUAGCCAAAACCUGAAAGAAACCCAAAUGAAUGUUAAGAAGCGAAUGGAUACAUAAAUUGUGGCAUAUGCAUACAAUGGGAUACCCAGCAAUAAAAAGGAAUGAACUAUUCAAGUAGGCAACAAAAGAUAAGAAAGCUGAAGAAGAGUGAAAAUAAAGAAACUUCUACAAAGCCACACGUGUAAAAUAUAUUUCUGGCAACAGUGGAGAAGAAUGAUAGGAAGAGAAUCAUACUGGAAUAGUAUAAUCCAUUGGAAGGUUGUUGUAAUGAAGGCAAGAAGAAAAAUGAUCUUGAAGGCAAGAAGAAAAAUCAUAAUGAAGGAAAGGAGAGAUGAGUUUACCAAAUAUAAUCUCAGAAUUGUUCUGUAAAUUUCAUUUCUGCUUUAGCAGCCAUAAAGAGCUCCAUUUAUUACAGUAGGAACAGAGGCAACAGUUACAUGGGUGGCUGGCAGUGAUAGAAAAGAUUUUAGUUUUGAUACAUGGAAUUUGACAUGCUUUUUGAAAAUCUUCAGAUGGUGAUGUACAAACUACUGCAGGAACAUAUGAGGAAAGAUGAGAGAAUCCACAGACUCUUUGAAGGAAGCAGAUUGCUCCUGCAGGGCCUGGGAGACAACCCAAACACUGGGUCCUUAGGGAGAGGUGCCAGAGGAAUUGGAAAAAGGCCACAGGCAGAAGGAAGGCUCCAGCUGAACUUGAUUGACCCGUCAUUUGGAUGUCCCAAAACCACAGAAGCAAUAGAAGAAUGGAAAAAAUUAAUACAUUUUGUCAAUAAAAACUUUAUCUUC
rnacentral:lncRNA from 1 species